UCUCCAUUACACUCCAUGGACUUGCCGAAACUUCUCUCCACAACACUCCUGCUCUGUCUUCUCAGCUACCAGUACUAUGUCGCUGCAGCAUGGGAUGAUGAAGACUUCUUCAAGACUUGCUCAUCGCAGAGGUGCAGCAAGCAUGGACCAGAGAUCAGGUUCCCGUUCCGGCUCUCCACACAACCUCCAUCAUGCGGCGCACCUGGCUUGAACUUAUCAUGCUCUGGACAGGACACCAUCCUCGAUCACCCAGUUCUUGGCCCCUGCAAAGUGACUGCAAUAAGUUACAGAUAUGCUUUCAUAAACGUUAUCCCACCUGUAGAUUCCUCGCCUCACUGCCCACUUCAGAAUCUCAUGUCGAAAAAUCAAUCAACUUCUGUGUACGAACUUAAUACCGAUGGAGCUAGCCUUGUAGUUUGUUCAAGAGAUCCCAUACCUGCAAAUCGAUACACCGACAUAGUUGGCCCAAUAUCUUGCCUCAGCCUCAAUAACAACCAGUCCUGGUAUUUGGCUGAUCCCUAUACAUACAUGUCCGUUCUUCCCUUGGGCUGCACAGUUGUUUCUAAAGACAUCCCGAUGCCCUAUAGUUAUGAUAAAAUAGGGAGCAUAAACUGGGACAUCUCAAAUUUCAAGGAAGCAGCAAAUAGAGUCAUCAGCAAUGGUGAGACAGUAUUCAUGUGGUACUCUAGUAACAUUACUAGAAUUUGUCAACAAUGUGAACGAGAAGGCCGACCCUGUGGUUUCAGUUCACAAAGUGCUCAAGCAUUCUGCCAUCAUCAUGGACUGCACGUCACCCUUGUUGCAGCUACGUCAUCUGUAGCCACGUUUGUAGUUCUUUCAUUAGUUGUGGCAACUGUCCUCUACAUCUCCUUGAAGUCAAGGUACGACGAAGAGAUACAUUUGAAAGUUGAAAUGUUCCUCAAAACAUAUGGUACAUCAAAACCCACAAGGUACACUUUCUCUGAAGUUAAAAAAAUAGCGAGACGAUUCAAGGAUAAACUAGGACAUGGUGGAUUUGGAAGUGUAUAUAAAGGUGAGCUACCAAAUGGAGUUCCUGUGGCAAUAAAAAUGCUAGACCACUCCACAGGAGAGGGUGAAGAAUUCAUCAAUGAAGUUGCAACCAUUGGGAGAAUCCACCAUGCAAACAUUGUCCGUCUCCUAGGCUUUUGCUCUGAAGGAACACGUCGGGCUUUAAUUUAUGAAUUCAUGCCCAAUGAAUCAUUGGAGAAAUAUAUAUUUCCACAUAGUCCUAGUACAUCAGCAGAACUCCUAGUACCGAAUAAAAUGCUCGAUAUUGCUUUAGGCAUCGCCCGAGGAAUGGAGUACCUGCACCAAGGGUGUAAUCAACGCAUCCUCCAUUUUGACAUCAAGCCUCACAACAUAUUGCUGGACUUCAGCUUCAAUCCAAAGAUUUCAGACUUUGGGCUUGCAAAGCUGUGUGCAAGAGAUCAAAGCAUUGUCACACUGACUGCAGCCAGGGGCACCAUGGGCUAUAUUGCACCAGAACUAUAUUCACGGAAUUUUGGAGCAAUAUCAUACAAGUCAGAUGUUUACAGUUUCGGUAUGCUGGUGUUAGAAAUGGUGAGUGGGAGGAGAAACUCAGACCCAACCAUUGAGAACCAAAAUGAGUUCUACUUUCCUGAAUGGAUAUAUGAUAGAGUAAUCAAUGAGCAGGAUCUGGUGCUUACAAUGGAGACAACACAAAAGGAGAAAGAAAUGGUGAGACAGCUAGCAAUUGUGGCGCUAUGGUGCAUUCAGUGGAACCCAAAAAACCGUCCAUCAAUGACAAAAGUGGUAAACAUGUUAACGGGGAGGUUGCAGAAUCUACAAGUUCCCCCUAAACCCUUUAUUUCGUCUGAAAAUCAUCUCGUGAUGUAAAUGAUGGAAACGCAAAUUCCAUGGCUUGGUACAUUAGUGAGCGAUAUGCUUAAUCCAAGUAUUGAAUAAUUUUCUUACUGAUCCAUAGCUUGUACGCAUAACUCAUGGUGUAAUUCAACUAUAUUUUGUAGUCCAACAUAUGGUAUAUGUAUUCAUAUAAUUGUAACAGUCCUCAAUAUAUCCUGUGGAAUCGAUUUGUAAUGUGAUAGUUAAAAGAUGCAAACUUAAUUACCUUAUU